rnacentral:rRNA from 1 species
UACGAAGGGGGCUAGCGUUGCUCGGAAUCACUGGGCGUAAAGGGUGCGUAGGCGGGUUUUUAAGUCAGGGGUGAAAUCCUGGAGCUCAACUCCAGAACUGCCUUUGAUACUGAAGAUCUUGAGUCCGGGAGAGGUGAGUGGAACUGCGAGUGUAGAGGUGAAAUUCGUAGAUAUUCGCAAGAACACCAGUGGCGAAGGCGGCUCACUGGCCCGGUACUGACGCUGAGACACGAAAGCGUGGGUAGCAAACAGG